rnacentral:rRNA from 1 species
AAAACAUGGCCUGUUGAUUAUAAUUAUAGGUYUGACCUGCCCACUGAGGAAUUUAAUGGCCGCGGUAUAUUGACCGUGCAAAGGUAGCAUAGUCAUUAGUUUUUUAAUUGAAAGCUUGUAUGAAAGGUUUGAUGAGAAAAAGGCUGUCUCUGUGGAGAAUUUAUUAGAAUUUUAUUUUUAAGUGAAAAAGCUUAAAUUUACAUAGAAGACGAGAAGACCCUAUAGAGUUUUAUAUAUGAUUUAAGUGUGGAGGAUAUAGCAUAUUUAGGCUUUAUGUUUAUUUAAUAUAUUUUGUUGGGGUGAUAGGAAAAUUAAUUUAACUUUUCUUUUAUUUAAAUAUUUAUUUAUAAGUUUUUGAUCCUUUAAUUAAGAUUAAAAGAUUAAACUACCUUAGGGAUAACAGCGUAAUUUUUUUUAGAGUUCUUAUCGAAAAAGGAGUUUGCGACCUCGAUGUUGGAUUAAAGUUAAUCAUUGGUGUAGGUGCUAGUGAGGAAGGUCUGUUCGACCUUUAAAAUUUUACAUGAUCUGAGUUUAGGCCGGCGUGAGCCAGGUCGGUUU